AUGAAGCUGUGGUCGCGACUCUCACCAGCCUCUCCGAUGAAAAUCACACCGCGCGGGCUGAUCGCGCCGAGGACCACGCCACCCUCAAGUCCAUCACCGAGAUGCUCCAAAAGCUCCAGGGCCAGCUCGCCGAUACGACACAACAACAACGCGCACAGAAUCUGGCCCUCCUCCGGUUUGAAGGGAAGGGCACACCUCAACUUGGUGGCCUCGGGCUCAUGCAGCCACCUGCGGCUACAUCCAACGCCGGGGACAGGGCCGCCCUGUCGGAUCCAUCCGAUCGCGCUCCGCGACUCUACAAAAUCAACUUCCCCCUCUUUGACGGGGCGAGCGACCCACGGCCGUGGUUGA
rnacentral:rRNA from 1 species